rnacentral:tRNA from 1 species
GCCGGGGUAGCUCAGCUGGUCAGAGCGCCAGACUCAUAAUCUGGAGGUCGUGGGUUCAAACCCCACCCCCGGCA